rnacentral:piRNA from 1 species
UCCAAGACCUGCCUGUGCAUCAACCGUAU